rfam:Heterocephalus glaber contig227431, whole genome shotgun sequence.
GGGGAUUUAGCUCAGUGGUUCCGGCACCUGCCUUGGAAGCACAAGGUCCCAAGUUUGAUUCUUGGUACCCCA